CCUACGGGGGGCUGCAGUCGAGAAUAUUCCUCAAUGGACGAAAGUCUGAAGGAGCGAUGCCGCGUGAAUGAAGAAGCCCUUCGGGGUGUAAAAUUCUUUUCUCAGGGACGAACUAAUGACGGUACCUGAGGAAUAAGGGGUUGCUAACUCUGUGCCAGCAGCAGCGGUAAUACAGAGACCCCGAGCGUUAUCCGGAUUUAUUGGGCGUAAAGAGUCUGUAGGCGUUCUGGCAAGUCUUUCGUCAAAUUCCGGAGCUCAACUCCGGCAACUGCGAAAGAUACUUCCAGAAUUGAGGGUGGGGGAGGCAGAUGGAAUUGCCGGUGUAGCGGUAAAAUGCGUUAAUAUCGGCAAGAACACCAAAUGCGAAGGCUUUCUGCUAAAACACUCCUGACGCUGAGAGACGAAAGCGUGGGUAGCGAAUGGGCUUAGAUACCCCAGUAGUC
rnacentral:rRNA from 1 species